AUUGAACGCUGGCGGCAGGCCUAACACAUGCAAGUCGAGCGGAUGAAGGGAGCUUGCUCCUGGAUUCAGCGGCGGACGGGUGAGUAAUGCCUAGGAAUCUGCCUGGUAGUGGGGGAUAACGUCCGGAAACGGGCGCUAAUACCGCAUACGUCCUGAGGGAGAAAGUGGGGGAUCUUCGGACCUCACGCUAUCAGAUGAGCCUAGGUCGGAUUAGCUAGUUGGUGGGGUAAAGGCCUACCAAGGCGACGAUCCGUAACUGGUCUGAGAGGAUGAUCAGUCACACUGGCACUGAGAAACGGCCCAGACUCCGGCGGUGGGCAGCGGUGGGGAAUAUUGGACGAGGGGGGAGAGCCUGAUCCAGCCAUGCCGGGUGUGUGAAGAAGGUCUUCGGAUUGGAGAGCACUGUAGGUUGUGGGGAUGUGCAGUAAGUUUAUACCGUACUGUUUUGACAGUACCAGCAGAAUAAGCACCGGCUAACUUCGUG
rnacentral:rRNA from 1 species